rnacentral:rRNA from 1 species
UACGUAGGGCGCGAGCGUUGUCCGGAAUUAUUGGGCGUAAAGAGCUCGUAGGCGGCCUGUUGCGUCUGCUGUGAAAUCCCGGGGCUUAACCCCGGGCGUGCAGUGGAUACGGGCAGGCUGGAGGCAGGCAGGGGAGAAUGGAAUUCCCGGUGUAGCGGUGAAAUGCGCAGAUAUCGGGAGGAACACCUGUGGCGAAAGCGGCUCACUGGACCAUAACUGACGCUGAUGCACGAAAGCUAGGGGAGCAAACAGG